rnacentral:rRNA from 1 species
AUUGAACGCUGGCGGCAGGCCUAACACAUGCAAGUCGAGCGGAUGAAGGGAGCUUGCUCCUGGAUUCAGCGGCGGACGGGUGAGUAAUGCCUAGGAAUCUGCCUGGUAGUGGGGGAUAACGUCCGGAAACGGGCGCUAAUACCGCAUACGUCCUGAGGGAGAAAGUGGGGGAUCUUCGGACCUCACGCUAUCAGAUGAGCCUAGGUCGGAUCAGCUAGUUGGUGGGGUAAAGGCCUACCAAGGCGACGAUCCGUAACUGGUCUGAGAGGAUGAUCAGUCACACUGGAACUGAGACACGGUCCAGACUCCUACGGGAGGCAGCAGUGGGGAAUAUUGGACAAUGGGCGAAAGCCUGAUCCAGCCAUGCCGCGUGUGUGAAGAAGGUCUUCGGAUUGUAAAGCACUUUAAGUUGGGAGGAAGGGCAGUAAGUUAAUACCUUGCUGUUUUGACGGUACCAACAGAAUAAGCACCGGCUAACUUCGUG